rnacentral:rRNA from 1 species
GAAUAUUGGACAAUGGGCGCAAGCCUGAUCCAGCAAUCCCGCGUGGAGGAUGACGCAUUACGGUGUGUAAACUCCUUUUCUGGUAGAAGACGACUGACGGUAUACCAGGAAUAAGAGACGGCUAACUACGUGCCAGCAGCCGCGGUAAUACGUAGGUCUCGAGCGUUAUCCGGAGUUACUGGGCGUAAAGGGUCCGUAGCCGGAUCUAUAAGUCUGUUUUCAAAUUCUUUCGCUCAACGAAAGGCAGGGAAUAGAUACUGUAGAUCUAGAGGUUUUUAGAGGUUAGUGGAAUUCCCAGUGGAGCGGUGAAAUGCGUUGAUAUUGGGAGGAACGCCGAAAGCGAAAGCAGCUAACUAUAAUUCACCUGACGGUCAGGGACGAAAGCUUGGGGAGCAAACGGG